rnacentral:rRNA from 1 species
UCAGACGAUGCGUCAUGCAUAUCAAUAAGCGGAGGAAAAGAAAUUAACAAGGAUUCCCCUAGUAACGGCGAGUGAAGCGGGAAGAGCUCAAAUUUGAAAUCUUAAAGGGUUUCCCUUUACGAAUUGUAGUUUAAAGAAGUGUUUUCUGCUUGAGGUUUUGGUAAAAGUUCUUUGGAAUAGGACAUCAUAGAGGGUGAGAAUCCCGUAUUUGACCUUUACUUUCAACUUUGUGAUACACUUUCAAAGAGUCGGAUUGUUUGGGAAUGCAGUCCAAAAUGGGUGGUAAAUUUCAUCUAAAGCUAAAUAUUGGCGAGAGACCGAUAGCGAACAAGUACCGUGAGAGAAAGAUGAAAAGAACUUUGAAAAGAGAGUUAAACAGUACGUGAAAUUGUCAAAAGGGAAGCGUUUGACACCAGUGUUGUUUUUCUGAAAAUCAAUUAAAGAACUGUUUAUGCUAAGCUUGUUUAGACUUUAUCAGCUAUCUGUUUAGUUUUGAGCUUUUCUUUAAUGCACUUUUCAGUUAACAAGUCAACAUCAAUUUCUUUUGCUGUAAAAAAGCUUGAGGAAGGUGGCUUGAGAUUCGUCUUAAGUGUUUAUAGCCUCUUGCCUAUGCAGUCGGAGAGAUUGAGGUCUGCAGCGUAGAUCCUUCGGGGCUAAAUGCAUUUGUGCUAAGUUAUAGCAUUUUAUAGACAACUUGUUGACUAUGAUUUGUCUUGUAGCUUACUCGCUUAUGUUAUUUUACCUACGCUUAGGAUGUUGACACACGCGCGUGCUCG